GUGUCCAUAACGUUAGGUGAUGUGACUUCCUGUGUGUCUGUCUACUAGGUGUCCAUAACGUUAGGUGAUGUGUGUCUGUCUACUAGGUACCCAUAAUGUUAGGUAAUGUUACUUCCUGUGUGUCUGUCUACUAGGUGUCCAUAACGUUAGGUGAUGUGUGUCUGUCUACUAGGUACCCAUAAUGUUAGGUGAUGUGACUUCCUGUGUGUCUGUCUACUAGGUACCCAUAAUGUUAGGUGAUGUGACUUCCUGUGUGUCUGUCUACUACGUGUCCAUAAUGUUAGGUGAUGUGUGUCUGUCUACUAGGUACCCAUAACGUUAGGUGAUGUGACUUCCUGUGUGUCUGUCUACUAGGUGUCCAUAACGUUAGGUGAUGUGACUUCCUGUGUGUCUGUCUACUAGGUGUCCAUAACGUUAGGUGAUGUGUGUCUGUCUACUAGGUACCCAUAACGUUAGGUGAUGUGACUUCCUGUGUGUCUGUCUACUAGGUGUCCAUAACGUUAGGUGAUGUGACUUCCUGUGUGUCUGUCUACUAGGUACCCAUAAUGUUAGGUGAUGUGACUUCCUGUGUGUCUGUCUACUAGGUACCCAUAAUGUUAGGUGAUGUGACUUCCUGUGUGUCUGUCUACUAG
rnacentral:lncRNA from 1 species